rnacentral:rRNA from 1 species
UGGGGAAUAUUUCGCAAUGGGCGAAAGCCUGACGCAGCGACGCCGCGUGAGGGAUGAAGGUUUUCGGAUCGUAAACCUCUGUCAGAAGGGAAGAAACCGCACUGUGCUAAUCAGCAGUGCCUUGACGGUACCUUCAAAGGAAGCACCGGCUAACUCCGUGCCAGCAGCCGCGGUAAUACGGAGGGUGCAAGAGUUAAUCGGAAUUACUGGGCGUAAAGCGCACGUAGGCUGCUUUGUAAGUCAGGGGUGAAAUCCCACGGCUCAACCGUGGAACUGCGUUUGAUACUGCAUAGAUUGAAUCCGGGAGAGGGUGGCGGAAUUCCAGGUGUAGGAGUGAAAUCCGUAGAUGUCUGGAGGAACAUCAGUGGCGAAGGCGGCCACCUGGACGGGUAUUGACGCUGAGGUGCGAAAGCGUGGGGAGCAAACAGG